rnacentral:rRNA from 1 species
CCUACGGGCGGCAGCAGUGGGGAAUAUUGCACAAUGGGGGAAACCCUGAUGCAGCGACGCCGCGUGAAGGAAGAAGUAUUUCGGUAUGUAAACUUCUAUCAGCAGGGAAGAAAAUGACGGUACCUUACUAAGAAUCCCCGUCUAACUACGUGCCAGCAGCCGCGGUAAUACGUAGGGGGCAAGCGUUAUCCGGAUUUACUGGGUGUUAAGGGAGCGUAGGCGGUGCAGCAAGUCAGAAGUGAAAGCCCGGGGCUCAACUCCGGGUCUGCUUUUGAAACUGUUGAACUAGAGUGCAGGAGAGGUAAGUGGAAUUCGUGGUGUAGCGGUGAAAUGCGUAGAUAUUAGGAGGAACACCAGUGGCGAAGGCAGCUUACUGGACUGUAAAUGACGCUGAGGCUCGAAAGCGUGGGGAGCAAACAGGAUUAGAUACCCCUGUAGUC